CGCCCUUCCUAACGAGAACCCAGAAGCACUGGAUAAACUGCGGAGAGCGCUGACUGCGGGUAUUUCACAGCCGGAACAAGAUGACAGGAAUAACGGAGGACAAGGCGAUGUAAGCAACGAAGAAACUAUAAGUGAACCACAGGAAGAGACAGCUCCGCCAUGUGACGUCAAUUCUCCACGCGAUGACACCACGGGUGGCCAACCUCCCCCUCUUCUCCAGAGACAGUCUGGCCGCGUGGAAUGCCAACAAGAGGGAGACGAAGGCCCAGAUGGACCACACUUCAGCGAAGAAACUGUGGAAGGGCAACCUCAACCGGGUUCUAGUUCUCUCGGUGGCAAUGGCCUCCCGAGUCAGGACUCCCCACCACCACCACCACCACCAA